rnacentral:rRNA from 1 species
GACGAACGCUGGCGGCGUGCUUAACACAUGCAAGUCGAACGGAAAGGCCCUGCUUUUGUGGGGUGCUCGAGUGGCGAACGGGUGAGUAACACGUGAGUAACCUGCCCUUGACUUUGGGAUAACUUCAGGAAACUGGGGCUAAUACCGGAUAGGAUCUCCUGCUGCAUGGUGGGGGUUGGAAAGUUUCGGCGGUUGGGGUUGGACUCGCGGCUUAUCAGCUUGUUGGUGGGGUAGUGGCUUACCAAGGCUUUGACGGGUAGCCGGCCUGAGAGGGUGACCGGCCACAUUGGGACUGAGAUACGGCCCAGACUCCUACGGGAGGCAGCAGUGGGGAAUAUUGCACAAUGGGCGGAAGCCUGAUGCAGCAACGCCGCGUGCGGGAUGACGGCCUUCGGGUUGUAAACCGCUUUCGCCUGUGACGAAGCGUGAGUGACGGUAAUGGGUAAAGAAGCACCGGCUAACUACGUG